rnacentral:rRNA from 1 species
GGGACACGUGGUAUCCUGUCUGAAUAUGGGGGGACCAUCCUCCAAGGCUAAAUACUCCUGACUGACCGAUAGUGAACCAGUACCGUGAGGGAAAGGCGAAAAGAACCCCGGCGAGGGGAGUGAAAAAGAACCUGAAACCGUGUACGUACAAGCAGUGGGAGCACCUUCGGGUGUGACUGCGUACCUUUUGUAUAAUGGGUCAGCGACUUAUAUUCUGUAGCAAGGUUAACCGUAUAGGGGAGCCGCAGGGAAACCGAGUCUUAACUGGGCGUUAAGUUGCAGGGUAUAGACCCGAAACCCGGUGAUCUAGCCAUGGGCAGGUUGAAGGUUGGGUAACACUAACUGGAGGACCGAACCGACUAAUGUUGAAAAAUUAGCGGAUGACUUGUGGCUGGGGGUGAAAGGCCAAUCAAACCGGGAGAUAGCUGGUUCUCCCCGAAAGCUAUUUAGGUAGCGCCUCGUGAACUCAUCUUCGGGGGUAGAGCACUGUUUCGGCUAGGGGGUCAUCCCGACUUACCAACCCGAUGCAAACUACGAAUACCGAAGAAUGUUAUCACGGGAGACACACGGCGGGUGCUAACGUCCGUCGUGAAGAGGGAAACAACCCAGACCGCCAGCUAAGGUCCCAAAGUCAUGGUUAAGUGGGAAACGAUGUGGGAAGGCACAGACAGCCAGGAUGUUGGCUUAGAAGCAGCCAUCAUUUAAAGAAAGCGUAAUAGCUCACUGGUCGAGUCGGCCUGCGCGGAAGAUGUAACGGGGCUAAACCAUGCACCGAAGCUGCGGCAGCGACACUAUGUGUUGUUGGGUAGGGGAGCGUUCUGUAAGCCUGCGAAGGUGUGCUGUGAGGCAUGCUGGAGGUAUCAGAAGUGCGAAUGCUGACAUAAGUAACGAUAAAGCGGGUGAAAAGCCCGCUCGCCGGAAGACCAAGGGUUCCUGUCCAACGUUAAUCGGGGCAGGGUGAGUCGACCCCUAAGGCGAGGCCGAAAGGCGUAGUCGAUGGGAAACAGGUUAAUAUUCCUGUACUUGGUGUUACUGCGAAGGGGGGACGGAGAAGGCUAUGUUAGCCGGGCGACGGUUGUCCCGGUUUAAGCAUGUAGGCUGGUUAUCCAGGCAAAUCCGGAUAAUCAAGGCUGAGGUGUGAUGACGAGGCACUACGGUGCUGAAGUAACAAAUGCCCUGCUUCCAGGAAAAGCCUCUAAGCAUCAGGUAACAUCAAAUCGUACCCCAAACCGACACAGGUGGUCAGGUAGAGAAUACCAAGGCGCUUGAGAGAACUCGGGUGAAGGAACUAGGCAAAAUGGUGCCGUAACUUCGGGAGAAGGCACGCUGGUGUGUAGGUGAAGUCCCUGCGGAUGGAGCUGAGACCAGUCGAAGAUACCAGCUGGCUGCAACUGUUUAUUAAAAACACAGCACUGUGCAAACACGAAAGUGGACGUAUACGGUGUGACGCCUGCCCGGUGCCGGAAGGUUAAUUGAUGGGGUUAUCCGUAAGGAGAAGCUCUUGAUCGAAGCCCCGGUAAACGGCGGCCGUAACUAUAACGGUCCUAAGGUAGCGAAAUUCCUUGUCGGGUAAGUUCCGACCUGCACGAAUGGCGUAAUGAUGGCCAGGCUGUCUCCACCCGAGACUCAGUGAAAUUGAACUCGCUGUGAAGAUGCAGUGUACCCGCGGCAAGACGGAAAGACCCCGUGAACCUUUACUAUAGCUUGACACUGAACAUUGAGCCUUGAUGUGUAGGAUAGGUGGGAGGCUUUGAAGCGUGGACGCCAGUCUGCGUGGAGCCAACCUUGAAAUACCACCCUUUAAUGUUUGAUGUUCUAACGUUGGCCCCUGACCGGGGUUGCGGACAGUGUCUGGUGGGUAGUUUGACUGGGGCGGUCUCCUCCCAAAGCGUAACGGAGGAGCACGAAGGUUAGCUAAUCCUGGUCGGACAUCAGGAGGUUAGUGCAAUGGCAUAAGCUAGCUUGACUGCGAGCGUGACGGCGCGAGCAGGUGCGAAAGCAGGUCAUAGUGAUCCGGUGGUUCUGAAUGGAAGGGCCAUCGCUCAACGGAUAAAAGGUACUCCGGGGAUAACAGGCUGAUACCGCCCAAGAGUUCAUAUCGACGGCGGUGUUUGGCACCUCGAUGUCGGCUCAUCACAUCCUGGGGCUGAAGUAGGUCCCAAGGGUAUGGCUGUUCGCCAUUUAAAGUGGUACGCGAGCUGGGUUUAGAACGUCGUGAGACAGUUCGGUCCCUAUCUGCCGUGGGCGCUGGAGAAUUGAGGGGGGCUGCUCCUAGUACGAGAGGACCGGAGUGGACGCAUCACUGGUGUUCGGGUUGUCAUGCCAAUGGCACUGCCCGGUAGCUAAAUGCGGAAGAGAUAAGUGCUGAAAGCAUCUAAGCACGAAACUUGCCCCGAGAUGAGUUCUCCCUGAGACUUUAAGUCUCCUGAAGGAACGUUAAAGACGAUGACGUUGAUAGGCCGGGUGUGUAAGCGCAGCGAUGCGUUGAGCUAACCGGUACUAAUGAACCGUGAGGCUUAACCUU